rnacentral:misc_RNA from 1 species
AGCGAGAAGACGGGACAA